rnacentral:rRNA from 1 species
UACGAAGGGGGCUAGCGUUGCUCGGAAUCACUGGGCGUAAAGGGUGCGUAGGCGGCGCGGUAAGUCGGGGUGUGAAAUCUCGGGGCUUAACUCCGAAACUGCAUUCGAUACGGGCAGGCUAGAGUCGGUAGGGGAGACUGGAAUUCCUGGUGUAGCGGUGAAAUGCGCAGAUAUCAGGAGGAACACCGGUGGCGAAGGCGGGUCUCUGGGCCGAUACUGACGCUGAGGAGCGAAAGCGUGGGGAGCGAACAGG